UUUCAUCAUUUGGAUCUGUGCUAUAUGUGAGUGCAUACGGCAUUCAAGUGUGAGCCACUUCAAUUGAACGUGUAUGGCUCAUGACAGUGCCAUACUGUCAUCAUUAUCAAAUAUGGCGAAAAGUGAUUAAGUAAGUUUGUUGUGCGCGGAACGAAAAUUAGACGCGGCCGAUUAAAAUGUCCAGCUAUUAUUUUAUUUUAUGCAAGGCUACGUCACUGGAAAAUGCAGUUCGUUUAAGGCGUGACCAAUACUUUCUCGCUCAGCGUACAGGAAAUAUUGUUUCAAUGCAAUGAGGACAGUUGGUGGAACAAACAUCGAAAGUCUGGACAAGUAAGCUCGCAUUUUUCGUACAAUACGGUUUAUAAAAACAUGAGUCCUACGUCAAAAUUCCACUAUUAAUUUUAUUCACGACAGAAAUACACGAUGCAAAUCACAAAACUGCUUAAAGAUCGCCCAACGAGCCCAAGAAGAAAAAUUAUAGCGAUGGUUAUUAAGUCUAUUACAACAUUUAUAAGUACCUAUAAGCGUUACCAAGUAACCAAGAGAAAACUCAUGACAAAAAUAUUAAUCAACCACAAGAAGAGUAUACCAUAAAGCCUAAUGCUGAACAAACAAUUUUCAUAAACUUUCUCUGUACACAUCUAGGACAAGUAAUAGCGCACGCUUGCCAAUUAUCACCGAAAUCAGUGAGCAAAUUAAAUUUGUUUUCAUCGAACAGCUUACAAGAAUCCGGCGGAGGUGCAUCCACUCUGUCCAAAAUCAAUUUAGCGUCCUGUCCAAGCCGCAUCCUGGCCUCGUGAAAGUGAAAGAUGACCACGACAGUGACGACUUCGAUGAUAUCAAACACGCUGCAUCUUCAAUUGUCGACGGUGGUGUGGAACUGGAACCGAACGACAGGCCGAUACUGCUGGAUGUGCUUAGAAAGCGAACAUUUUCAGUCGAAGUACAUUCUCUUCAACGAACGCUACUAAGCUACAAAGAAACGAAAGACUGCUGCCAAAUUUACGCCAACGACGACUGCUACUCGUUAUUAAGUAGCAAUCGUGAUCUGAUCAAGGAUGCCGUUUCGCUUGGCCAUUGCCUCUGGAUAAAAUGAUUGAGCAUAUUUACUUAGCAUCUACAACAUUGGGAAGGUUCUUAUUACAUUUUAAUAUUAUGUACCGUGCAAGCACCAUAUUCAAAACAGUGCCUAAUUCUGAACAGUUUCAUUAUUCAUAAAUAUUAACAAAAUUCUAGUUAUUUAAACAAAUUAAUCACUACAUCUGAUGAUUUCAUAUUACUAAAAUGGUUUAAAUAGCUAGAGUUUUGUCAAUAUUUAAGAUAAAUUUGCAGCUGUUCAGAAUUAACUGUUUUGAAUAUGGUGUCUGCACGGUAUAUCCAUUAAUUGGUUUCAAU